rnacentral:tRNA from 1 species
GCAGGUGUAGUUAAGUGGUAUAACCCUAGCCUUCCAAGCUAGCUUCGUGAGUUCGAUUCUCAUCACCUGCUCCA